CCCUUAGAUGUUCUGGGCUGCACGCGCGCUACACUGACGCACGCAACAGGUGCCUGCUCCGAGAGGACUGGGUAAUCAUUUGAGUGUGCGUCGUGAUGGGGAUAGAAUAUUGUAAUUAUUACCCUUCAACGAGGAAUUCCUAGUAAGCGCCAGUCAGCAGCUUGCGCUGAUUACGUCCCUGCCCUUUGUACACACCGCCCGUCGCUCCUACCGAUGGGUGAUCCGGUGAAUGAUUCGGACUUCAGCGGCUCCCCUGGGGUGCGCCGGAGAAAGUUUUGUGAACCUUAUCACUUGGAGGAAGGAGAAGUCGUAACA
rnacentral:rRNA from 1 species